rnacentral:rRNA from 1 species
UAAUACCGCAUACGUCCUACGGGAGAAAGCAGGGGACCUUCGGGCCUUGCGCUAUCAGAUGAGCCUAGGUCGGAUUAGCUAGUUGGUGGGGUAAUGGCUCACCAAGGCGACGAUCCGUAACUGGUCUGAGAGGAUGAUCAGUCACACUGGAACUGAGACACGGUCCAGACUCCUACGGGAGGCAGCAGUGGGGAAUAUUGGACAAUGGGCGAAAGCCUGAUCCAGCCAUGCCGCGUGUGUGAAGAAGGUCUUCGGAUUGUAAAGCACUUUAAGUUGGGAGGAAGGGCAGUAAGUUAAUACCUUGCUGUUUUGACGUUACCGACAGAAUAAGCACCGGCUAACUCUGUGCCAGCAGCCGCGGUAAUACAGAGGGUGCAAGCGUUAAUCGGAAUUACUGGGCGUAAAGCGCGCGUAGGUGGUUCGUUAAGUUGGAUGUGAAAGCCCCGGGCUCAACCUGGGAACUGCAUCCAAAACUGGCGAGCUAGAGUACGGUAGAGGGUGGUGGAAUUUCCUGUGUAGCGGUGAAAUGCGUAGAUAUAGGAAGGAACACCAGUG